GUCCAAACUCGAUUGCUAACCUACAUGUGUUGCAGAAGAGAAACUACCGGCAGGUUUGCUAAAGUAACUGUAGUGAUAAAAAUGAAUUAACUUCAGAUUGUAUUGAGGUUGCCUACUCUACUGAGUUCAACA